UUUGACUGACAUGAACUGAGUGAACUGGAGGGAAGGGGGGCAGUGAUAGCACUUGGCACACUUGUCUGUUCCACUUCAGUUUGAUCCAUGUGUUGUGAUGCCUGCAGUGUCCUGGUUUGGCCCUCCACCAUCAAGUGACCAACAGUGAAUCCUGGAGGAGUCAAUCACAUCACAAGAGCCAGAUUCAAAGAUCCCAGGAAGAACUAUAAUGGGCUGUUAUGGGGAUUGUUCCUUUCAGGUUUAUAUCAAAAGACACAGAAACACUUGAAGGUAUACAUGAUCCUAAUGUGCAUUCCUGUUCUCUGUGUACUCACUCCUCCUCUGGCUCAAACUUCAAGCAUUUACAGAUCAAAUUUCAGCCUAUCACGCUAUCAUGAAAGGCCUUCUCACUCUUCCUCUUCUCGCUUUCUCUUGCCUUUUUUUUUUUUUUUUUAACCAUCUCGGCUGUUAAUGUUCUUUUGUUUAGCUUGAACGUCUGACUAGAUGAUGUACAGGUUUCCCUCCCCUUUUCUAUGUAUUUUCUUUUAACUCUGCUUCUCAGGCUAAUAAUGCACAAUCACAAGUGCCUACGUGAGCAUAAUGUCAUUACAGUAUUAAAUUUAAUUUACAGUUUUAUGCAUGCAUGAUGUGGUCCCCUGUCUAUGUGUGACUUUCUGAUGCUCUGAUGUCACUGACUGUUCCUCCUACUCCUUCUGGACCCAAUCCUUCUUUGGACAGUCUGGGUUUGCUCCAGCUGGGACAGGAAACCCACUAGC